UACGAAGGGGGCUAGCGUUUUUCGGAAUUACUGGGCGUAAAGCGCACGUAGGCGGAUUUGUUAGUCAGGGGUGAAAUCCCGGGGCUCAACCUCGGAACUGCCUUUGAUACUGCAAGUCUUGAGUCCGGAAGAGGUGAGUGGAAUUCCUAGUGUAGAGGUGAAAUUCGUAGAUAUUAGGAGGAACACCAGUGGCGAAGGCGGCUCACUGGUCCGGUACUGACGCUGAGAUGCGAAAGCGUGGGGAGCAAACAGG
rnacentral:rRNA from 1 species